rnacentral:rRNA from 1 species
GAUGAACGCUAGCGGCAGGCUUAACACAUGCAAGUCGAGGGGUAGAGGAAGCUUGCUUCCUUGAGACCGGCGCACGGGUGCGUAACGCGUAUGCAAUCUACCUUGUACAGGGGGAUAGCCCAGAGAAAUUUGGAUUAAUACCCCAUAGUAUUAUUGAAUGGCAUCAUUUGAUUAUUAAAGUUCCAACGGUACAAGAUUAGCAUGCGUCCCAUUAGCUAGUUGGUGUGGUAACGGCACACCAAGGCGACGAUGGGUAGGGGUCCUGAGAGGGAGAUCCCCCACACUGGUACUGAGACACGGACCAGACUCCUACGGGAGGCAGCAGUGAGGAAUAUUGGUCAAUGGGCGCAAGCCUGAACCAGCCAUGCCGCGUGCAGGAUGACGGUCCUAUGGAUUGUAAACUGCUUUUGUACAGGAAGAAACACUCCCUCGUGAGGGAGCUUGACGGUACUGUAAGAAUAAGGAUCGGCUAACUCCGUGCCAGCCGCCGCGGUAAGAC